UAUAAAAGGUUUAAUGUAAGUCAUCCCAAGGUCGAGCGAGGUUACUCAAGACUUUCAAGCUAUUGCUAGGGCCAGGAUAAGGGCUAUUAGCUCAGGUGGUUAGAGCGCACCCCUGAUAAGGGUGAGGUCCCUGGUUCGAGUCCAGGAUGGCCCACUCGUGGGGGUAUAGCUCAGUUGGUAGAGCGCCUGCUUUGCAAGCAGGAUGUCAGCGGUUCGAGUCCGCUUACCUCCACCAGAUGGCAAUAAGAUUAAUGUUGAAAGUGAGACAGUAGCAAAUUGCUCAGUUGUGAGUAAUCUGCUGAGGUCUAUUGCUUCAGCAACAGAACCUUGAAAACUGCAUAGCAAAAUAUAAAGAGCUCUGUCAGGUAGUUUGAGUACGGUUUGAUGACUAAGCAGUUGUUGAAAGACGAGUGUUUAGUGAGUUGAACCGACGAGACACAAAAAAGACACCAAUGUUAUUUGUGGUCAAGCUAUGAA
rnacentral:tRNA from 1 species